rnacentral:rRNA from 1 species
UACGGGGGGGGGCAAGCGUUGUUCGGAAUUACUGGGCGUAAAGGGCUCGUAGGUGGCCAACUAAGUCAGACGUGAAAUCCCUCGGCUUAACCGGGGAACUGCGUCUGAUACUGGAUGGCUUGAGUUCGGGAGAGGGAUGCGGAAUUCCAGGUGUAGCGGUGAAAUGCGGUAGAUAUCUGGAGGAACACCGGUGGCGAAGGCGGCAUCCUGGACCGGACAC